UAAGAAUAUUCCGCAAUGGACGAAAGUCUGACGGAGCGACGCCGCGUGGAUGAUGAAGGCCGAAAGGUUGUAAAAUCCUUUUGCUGAUGAAGAAUAAGUGGUGGAGGGAAUGCCAUCAUGAUGACAUUAGUCGGUGAAUAAGCCCCGGCUAACUACGUGCCAGCAGCCGCGGUAACACGUAGGGGGCAAGCGUUGUUCGGAAUUAUUGGGCGUAAAGGGCAUGUAGGCGGUUUUGUAAGCCUGGUGUGAAAUCCUGCAGCUUAACUGUAGAAUUGCAUUGGGUACUGCAAGACUUGAAUCACAGAGGGGAAACUAGAAUUCCAGGUGUAGGGGUGGAAUCUGUAGAUAUCUGGAAGAAUACCGGUGGCGAAGGCGGGUUUCUAGCUGAUGAUUGACGCUGAGGUGCGAAGGUGCGGGGAGCAAACAG
rnacentral:rRNA from 1 species